GUGUCAGCAGCCGCGGUAAGACAGAGGGCUCAAACGUUGUUCGGAAUUACUGGGCAUAAAGCGCACGCAGGCGGCUUGCUAAGUCGGGUGUGAAAUCCCUUGGCUCAACCGAGGAACUGCAUUCGAUACUGGUAGGCUCGAGGACGGGAGGGGUAAGCGGAACUCCAGGUGGAACGGUGAAAUGUGUAGAUAUCUGGAGGAACACCGGUGGCGAAAGCGGCUUACUGGCCCGUAUCUGACGCUCAUGUGCGAAAGCUAGGGGAGCAAACGGGAUUAGAUACCCUGGUAGUCC
rnacentral:rRNA from 1 species